rnacentral:rRNA from 1 species
CCUACGGGAGGCAGCAGUGAGGAAUAUUGGUCAAUGGACGCAAGUCUGAACCAGCCAAGUAGCGUGCAGGAUGACUGCCCUAUGGGUUGUAAACUUCUUUUAUAUAGGAAUAAAACGAGGCACGUGUGCCUUUUUGCAUGUACUUUAUGAAUAAGGAUCGGCUAACUCCGGGCCAGCAGCCGCGGUAAUACGGAGGAUCCGCGCGUUAUCCGGAUUUAUUGGGUUUAAAGGGGGCGUAGAUGGGUUGUUAAGUCAGUUGUGAAAGUUUGCGGCUCAACCGUAAAAUUGCAAUUGAUACUGGCAGUCUUGAGUACAGAUGGGGUAGGCGGAAUUCGUGGUGUAGCGGUGAAAUGCUUAGAUAUCAUGAAGAACCCCGAUUGCGAAGGCAGCUUACCAAGCUGUGACUGACAUUGAUGCUCGAAAGUGUGGGUAUCAAACAGGAUUAGAUACCCGGGUAGUC